GCACAGCUAGCUGCCAGAGGUGAACAUGGGAGACGUGUCGGAGAGGACCUUGCAGUGUGCGGUGGUGUUUUCUUUUGCCGUGGGCUUCUUGACGGGCUGGCAGGCCAACAGAAUGAGGAGGAGGUUCCUGGACUGGAGGAAGAAGCGGCUGCAGGAUAAACUGUCGGAGACGCAGAAGAAGCUGGACUUGGCUUAAAUGGUCGGCUGUGUGCUCCGUGAAGCCGGUUCAUCCCGGUUGUCCUUCAUUUUUGGUCUUACCACACCCUGCACAAGUUUAAUCAUGAUACCUGCCAAGCUCUCUUGAAGACUUCUAUCAAAAGAAACAUAUCAUGUGGACAUGUAAUAUAUAGAAGUUUGUCAUUUGUCUUUAUAGCAGUGUGACUUUUUCAUAUACAAUGCUAAUAAAUUAUUAUAUUUUUC